GCUCAAAGCACAGGACGACUGAAACCAGCGUCAUUCUCUGACUCUCUAGAUCUCAGCAGGAACAAUGUCGUGCAUUGGUAAUACCGACAACGUACACUUAGGCUGCAACUCAGGCAACAGUUGUCAUAAUACCACCACCAUUCCAGGAUGUGUUGGACCCAAUGCUGCUGUGGGCAACACCACUGGCGUCACUGUCAGAGGAAAUAAUGCAGGAAGCAUUGGAUCAGGCAACACAUUUGAUAUAAAAGGAGGAGUGGGAGCUGGUCAACGGGUUGGCAACACCUCCAACGUUAGCGCUGGUUCUAACUCCGGAUCCAUCGGUUCAGGGAAUCGCUUCAACAUGUAAUGAGGUAAGAAAUGGAAGAGAUUUACUGUCAGAUGAACUCGGCCUCCAACUCUUCUAAAAACAAUGCACCAUUUGUUGAAUGUAGAAUUCAUGAUUUCUAAUCAACAGAAAGAGUCAGUGAUCUGAUGAAUGUAAAGGAAAUAUGAGUGCAAAUAAAGUAGAGUAGCUGCUCUAUGAGACUGUC